UUUGAGAUAAUUUUAUGUAAGGAUAUUAAUCAUUCAAUCAAGGAUACAAUGAUUAUACUAAAUGAAACACUUUAAAGAUCAGAUUUAUUAAUCUUAGAUUUUUAGAAUAGUCUUGAGAAUUACUUAUAAAGGAAAACAAUCCAUUGUUAUAAAACCUUUUAGUAGAAUUUCCAUUAUGAUCACGACACAUUAAUCAUUUAUGAUUGAAACAUAUGAUGCAUACAUGCGACUUAUAGAGUAAAUCAUAAUAUAUUUC
rnacentral:lncRNA from 1 species